AUAUUUAAUUGUUGCCUUCUUUGGACAGGCACCUCACCACUGCAGCCCUGGCAUCCCCCAAUGCUAUUGGAACGGUGCUGGCAGCACUAGCUCUGACCCGGACACCCGGCCUUGGCUGGGGAAUGGAGUCUCCUCUCUCUGCCCCAUGCCAGAGGAUGUGUCCCAUAGCAGCCAGAGCCUGCCCAGAGCGUGGCACCGCGCUGCUCAGCCAGCAAGGUGCAGCCCAGGAAGCCUGGGAAUCAGCAGCUUGCAUCAAUGCUUGCAUCUCCUGGUGGCCUGCAGACAGAGAAUGGCUCCAAGCAGGAAGGUCGCGAACAGAAAAGCAUCUUUGAAGGCAAAGAAGGCUUCACCCCUCUUCAAAUCAAGAUAUUCAUAACGACUGUGAGAAGGAAGGCAGCACCUCGGAGAGGGUAAAGGAAUGAUCUGCGAAGGAGCAAUCACACACAGCCUGGGAAAGAUUUGUUCAUCUUUCAGAAGCGACUUGUGAGCAAUAGCAUGGUGGCAGAGCAAGCCACAAAACCUGCACUGCGUGCACUGCCUGACUGAAGGCACUCAGAAGGGACCCGAGGGGCCAGCAGUACAACCGUUUGAUUGCAC
rnacentral:lncRNA from 1 species